rnacentral:rRNA from 1 species
GAGGCGAACCGGGGGAACUGAAACAUCUAAGUACCCCGAGGAAAAGAAAUCAACCGAGAUUCCGAAAGUAGCGGCGAGCGAAAUUGGACUAGCCCUUAAGCUUUAUAUGCGUUAGACGAACGGUCUGGAAAGUCCGACGAUACAGGGUGAUAGUCCCGUAGUUGACGACGUGUGUUCAGUGAAAUCGAGUAGGGCGGGACACGUGAUAUCCUGUCUGAAUAUGGGGGG